rnacentral:rRNA from 1 species
GAUGAACGCUAGCGACAGGCUUAACACAUGCAAGUCGAGGGGCAGCACAGGUAGCAAUACCGGGUGGCGACCGGCGCACGGGUGAGUAACGCGUAUGCAACUUACCUAUCAGAGGGGGAUAACCCGGCGAAAGUCGGACUAAUACCGCAUAAAGCAGGGAUCCCGCAUGGGGAUAUUUGCUAAAGAUUCAUCGCUGAUAGAUAGGCAUGCGUUCCAUUAGGCAGUUGGCGGGGUAACGGCCCAUCAAACCGACGAUGGAUAGGGGUUCUGAGAGGAAGGUCCCCCACAUUGGUACUGAGACACGGACCAAACUCCUACGGGAGGCAGCAGUGAGGAAUAUUGGUCAAUGGGCGUAAGCCUGAACCAGCCAAGUCGCGUGAGGGAUGAAGGUUCUAUGGAUCGUAAACCU